CUGUUCUUGAGCCUAAAAUCUGAAGACAGCUGAUGAAGUACAGUUAUCUCUUUGAAGAUUACUGAGGCCCUUGAAGAAGAGGACGGUCAAUAUAAGCCUGCAUAAAGGGGAGUAUUCAAAAGUUUUCUUUGGAAGUCAUCUGGUGAAGACUUCUCAUGGGGAGAAAAAAGUCGACUUCACUUCUACCUUCCUAAGUUCUCUAUAACAAAAGAAAUUAAUGAAAGAGGGACGCCUGGGUGCUCAGUGGUGGAGCGUCUGCCUUUAGCCUAAGGCGUGAUCCUGGAGUCCUGGGAUCAAGUUCUGCAUCGGGCUCCUGCAUGAGCCUGCUUCUCCCUCUGCGUGUGUCUCUGCCUCUCUCUCUCUCUCUCUAUCUCUCAUGAAUAAAAAAAUAAAUAAAUCUUUAAGAAAAAUAAAUUAAUGAAAGAAU